UGACAAUUUUGGACAGGUAACUAGUAACUGUAACGGAUUACAUUUAGAAAGUUUCCUACCKAACCUUACCUAUUUCCUACAAGGCUCGGGGAACACCGGACUGACUACUUUUGUUUUGAGAUCCUUUGGCAAAGCCCAGUCUUUCAUCUAUGUUGACCCGGCAACGAUGGAGCAAUCCAAGACUUGGUUGGAACGUCAACAAGGCAAACAUGGCUGUUURGUCAGAUUGGGGYAACUCUUUAACAACAGAAUGAAGGGUGGGGUGACAGAUGAAGUCACACUGACGGCCUACAUCACGUCUUCAAUGCUGGAGCUCAACAUGUCAGUGUCGGU